AUCAACUUCCUAUUCAAUGCAACGUGUAGACCGGUUCAGACGAAUAACUCAGGUCUUCUUGCAAAAAAAUAUAUUCCAACAGUUGCAACAAAAGCAGCCUGUGAUAUUUCCGACAGCAGCCACAUUUCGUAAACUAGCUUCAAACGAGAGACUGUUCAGCAGUUCUUCACAGGUCAAAAUGUCAUACGGAAUAGUUGAAAGAGGAUGCCCAAAUUCUUUGGAAUAUAGAGUAUUUUUCAGUGGCCCCAAUGGAAACACUGUGUCCCCCUUCCAUGACAUCCCUCUGUUUGCCAACACAGAGAAGACGGUGAUGAAUAUGGUGGUAGAAAUUCCCCGCUGGACAAACAGCAAGAUGGAGAUUUCCAAAGAGGAGAAAAUGAACCCCAUCAAGCAGGAUGUUAAGAAAGGUGCCUUAAGAUAUGUGAAAAAUGUCUUUCCUCAUCACGGAUACAUCUGGAAUUAUGGCGCUCUUCCCCAGACAUGGGAGGACCCUAAACAUGAAACACCAGAGACCAAAACACUAGGAGACAACGAUCCUUUAGAUGUGUGUGAGAUAGGUCAAAAGGUGCACAAGAGAGGGGCGGUGAUUCAAGUUAAAGUCCUGGGGGUCAUGUGCCUGAUUGAUGAAGGUGAAACAGACUGGAAGGUGCUAGUCAUAGAUGUCACAGACCCACUGGCCAGCGACCUCAAUGGUACUCUUUUUAUACUUGGUUUAAUUAUGUUUCUUAAAAAUUAUACCUUCUGCUGCAUGUACCAAUUACUUGAACAUCAGUGCAUUUGUUUAAAAACAUUUUCAAUUUUGUUCUUUAGAAAAAGUAUUGAUUUCCAUUUUUAGAUAUAGAAGAUGUUGAAAAGCAUAUGCCAGGAUUUCUCAAGGCAACGUAUGAAUGGUUCAAAAUUUAUAAGAUCCCUGACGGCAAGCCAGAGAAUAAAUUUGCCUUCAACGGAGAAGCUAAAAACAAGGAAUAUGCCAUGAAGGUGGUAAACGAAUGUAAUAAACAAUGGCAGCAAUUAAUUGGGAAAGAGUGUGACAACCAUGGAAUUGCAUGCGAGAACACAUCAGUUGCAAGCAGCCCUUACAAGAUUACGCCUGAAGAUGGGAAGAAGAUUGUUGAAGCUGUGAGUACAAGUCAAUGGAAAUAAAAUACAAAAUUUGUUGACAGCUUUUUAAAGAUACCUGAUAUAAUAUCAUCUGAUUUUGGCUGUUUAUUUCAGCAACCACAGCUAGGAACUGCAAAACCAGUAGCGGACGAGAUUGACAAAUGGCACUACGUCAAGCUUUAACAGCAGCACAACCUUCUGGCCAGAGACCGAAGGGGGUCAACAAAGGGGGGGUAGACUUAGUUGUUAGACAUAUCACACCACUGUGCUCAACUACAGACUCCUGUCCAUCUGUCUAGUAUUAACAAUCAAGUCCAGGUUCCUUAUUGACCUUAAUGUUUAAUGUUUUACAUGUAUCUGUUGAUUUAUUUGAAUUUAUUAUAGAAUGUGCUAGAUUUAUAAACAUUCCCUAAAUUUCCUGACAAUAUUGUGAUGUUAAUUUGUAUUAAAGUUGGUUGCUUUUUUAUCGUUGCAAAUAAGGGUUGAGUGACUUAAUAGAUACUUUUUUGGAUAUUAAAAUUGUUAAAAUGAUUUUGAUUGUGCUGUAUUUACAUGUCGUGGAAAAUAAACAUUGAGGCAUAGAUAUACUUAUUGGUGUGGCAUUAUAUACUGUUUCUGUUAUAAUGGAGCACAAAUAUUUUUUGUCAAAGAUUUUAAGAGACCUUUUUUCUGAGAGAACAAUUUUCCACCACUGGAGAACCACUGAUAAGAGAUUUUAACAUGCUUUGUAUAACAUGAUAUACAUGAUUUUCUUUUUGUGCAUGACAAUUUUUUGAAACUUUUUCUUUGUUAUAUAAAUGUUAUUUUGGUGUACAAUUAUGACCGAUACAUUUAUAGAUUUAUGAUUAUUGAUUCAAACAUAUAGAAUAUAAUGUUAUUGAUGAUAUCUGACCCAGUUAGCUUGAACUAUGGGAGGAGACAGUUAUUGAAGGUUUUCUGAAAUUUUACAGCAGCUAAGCUUUUAGUGGAUGCGAUUUGUGUAAGUCUAGAAAGGAUUACAUGUUUAUGUAUUACUUCCAAGUUACAAACUGUAUUUAGAGGGAAAAAUAAAAAAUGUGAAAUGU
rnacentral:misc_RNA from 1 species